UUUUAUUUGAGAGUUUGAUCCUGGCUCAGGAUGAACGCUGGCGGCGUGCCUAACACAUGCAAGUUGAGCGAUUUACUUCGGUAAAGAGCGGCGGACGGGGGAGUAACGCGUGGGUAACCUACCCUGUACACACGGAUAACAUACCGAAAGGUAUGCUAAUACGGGAUAAUAUAUUUGAGAGGCAUCUCUUGAAUAUCAAAGGUGAGCCAGUACAGGAUGGACCCGCGUCUGAUUAGCUAGUUGGUAAGGUAACGGCUUACCAAGGCGACGAUCAGUAGCCGACCUGAGAGGGUGAUCGGCCACAUUGGAACUGAGACACGGUCCAAACUCCUACGGGAGGCAGCAGUGGGGAAUAUUGCACAAUGGGCGAAAGCCUGAUGCAGCAACGCCGCGUGAGUGAUGAAGGCCUUCGGGUCGUAAAACUCUGUCCUCAAGGAAGAUAAUGACGGUACUUGAGGAGGAAGCCCCGGCUAACUACGUGCCAGCAGCCGCGGUAAUACGUAGGGGGCUAGCGUUAUCCGGAUUUACUGGGCGUAA
rnacentral:rRNA from 1 species